GACAGAGGUCCCGAGCGUUAGGCGGAAUCACUGGGCUUAAAGCGUGUGUAGGCGGAUCGUUAAGUGCCUUGUGAAAUCCCACGGCUCAACCGUGGAAUGGCUGGGCAGACUGGCGAUCUUGAGCCAUCUAGGGGCGACCGGAACAAACGGUGGAGCGGUGAAAUGCGUAGAUAUCGUUUGGAACGCCAACGGUGAAGACAGGUCGCUGGGGAUGUGCUGACGCUGAGACACGAAAGCCAGGGGAGCAAACGGG
rnacentral:rRNA from 1 species